UGCGGGGCCGUCGAGAAUCCUCUGCAGGACGAGAGCGCGCCGCCAGUGACGGCCACCCACUCUAGGGACGAGACACGAGGGUGGCCGUACCAGAGCGGACGACGUGGAGAGAGGGCCCGAGGUAGGGGAGCGGGUCGGCGUCCCCGGGCUCAGCCGUCAACCCGCCACCGUCGCUUCCCACGAGGCGGCGGCCUGACUAUGAGGCACGGCGACGAGUGGAUUGUCGAUCGAGGCGCUCAUCGUCGUCGUCUCAGGACAGACUCCCGACGCCACCGCCGCGCGUGUGCUGCCUGAACGAGUUGAGAAGGAACCGCAUGUCCUGGGAUGUCGCCACGUCUAUUGGUCUUUGCUUUCUGUUCAACACCAAAGAAUCACGUCACUGUAUAUCAACGCAAUCUUGUGCAUGAAGCAGAAGUGACUUGCAGAUCAAAGAAACAAAAUACCAAUUAGUCACAGUGGUAUUAUUAAGCGCUUGAAAAGGAAGUAACAAAGGCUACCUGAAGAGCCUUGUAAUUGCCCUUAGCUGCAGCGCUGUGCACUGGUGUGAGACCUAGUUUGUUCCCCUGGAAAACUCUGGCACCAUUCUUCUGCAGGAGCCACAUAAUCCUGCACAAAGACAGAAGACAGUUAAGGACACUUGGAAAUAGCAAGAACAACGAUCUUACAGUUUAGCUGUUAAUGGAGCAGAAUUUGAAGAAGUGCUGUUAAUGGUACAGUUUAGCUGCACCUUGGCUCCUGUGUGCUUGAGCUACUACUGAGGCACCAGUGAAGUGCCGUGUUUCCUUCGGGGUCGGUUUCAUUGACAUCAACAUCCCCCAUCAGAAGCAUCUUUGUGACAUUCAUAUC